rnacentral:rRNA from 1 species
GGAAGCUUUUAGCGGCACCAUCGACCGAUCUGAGUUCGCGAGGAUUUGAGUAUGAGUUUCAUUGGUCGGACCCGAAAGUCAGUAUUCCCCCUUUAGUUUUGAAGAAAUAUACUAACAAUUUUCAAGGAAGGUGAACUUUUCUUGAAUAGGUUGAAGUCAGGUGAAAACCUGAUGGAAGACCGCAGCGGUUCUGACGUGCAAAUCGAUCGUCAAAUUUGGGAAAAGGGGCGAAAGACUAAUCGAACCUUCUAGUAGCUGGUUCCUGUCGAAGUUUCCCUCAGGAUAGCAGCAACGAUAAACAGUCUCAUGAGGUAGAGCAACGAUUAGAGGCCUUGGGGUUGAACCACCCUUAACCUAUUCUCGAACUCCGAAUAUGUGAGAAGUCCUUGUUACUUAAUUGAACGGGACAUUGGAUUACGUGCUGCCCAACAAACCAGA